GCUGGGCGUGGUGGCACACGCCUGUAGUCCAAGCUACUUGGGAGGCUGAGGCAGGAGAAUCGCUUGAACCCGGGAGGUGGAGGUUGCAGUGAGCUGAGAUUGCGCCACUGCACUCCAGCCUGGGCAACAGAGCGAGACUCAGUCUCAA
rnacentral:sRNA from 1 species